ACUCCCUUCUUCUUCUUAAUCUCCUUACAGUUACAGACAUUCUCUCACUUGCG
rnacentral:misc_RNA from 1 species